GGUCCCCAGKAGAAACAAGAUAAAAGAGCAGUCUGAAAGUCAAAGUAUAAUAUGGACCUGUAUGGACCUGUAAAUGAGCUGCAAAUCAAGAUUUUUUUAAAAGGAAAUUACUCAGUAGCCCUGAUCUGAAGGAGAACUUGACACUUGAUAGUGAUCAUCUGCUUGCUCAGCAAAAUAGAAGGAUACAUUAAUGGAGACUGACAAAGUAAAUACUGAAGCACCAAGCCAGAAAAGGAAGAGACAUGUUAAU